GAGUAAUGUCUGGGAAACUGCCUGAUGGAGGGGGAUAACUACUGGAAACGGUGGCUAAUACCGCAUAACGUCGCAAGACCAAAGAGGGGGACCUUCGGGCCUCUUGCCAUCAGAUGUGCCCAGAUGGGAUUAGCUUGUUGGUGAGGUAACGGCUCACCAAGGCGACGAUCCCUAGCUGGUCUGAGAGGAUGACCAGCCACACUGGAACUGAGACACGGUCCAGACUCCUACGGGAGGCAGCAGUGGGGAAUAUUGCACAAUGGGCGCAAGCCUGAUGCAGCCAUGC
rnacentral:rRNA from 10 species